AUAUAUGAUAUAUAUUUGAACAACACUUCUGCAACAAAGAAUUAUUUACUAUGGUAUAUAAAUGUCAGCAAAUUGUUAAUAGUUUUGAUAGUCAUCUAUUUAUGAUGAAAAUGUAAUUUGUCAACUUGCUUUUUGCCUGUGAGCCAUAAAAAAUGUUUAUAAGUUGUGAUCAUUUUCAGUUGUUACAUUUUCAAAAAAAAUAAAAAAUGUAAAUUUGGAAGUUCUAAUGAUAAAGUUUAUAUUUAAAAAAAUUAAUAAUCAAUCAUUAAGAAGAUUUGUAGAUAUUCAAAUGAAAAUUUUCCAUACCAUAAUUACAAGAUGAAAGCUUUACAAAAGCAUUUGACAGAAAUGGUAGGGCACCUUACUAAAUAUCUUACAGUAUUUAGUUUCAUUUCUAAUCCCACUAUCGUUGACUUUGCCUUCCCUGCUUCUGAAGUAGAUAAAAUAAUUCCCAGUAAUAUACAUGCAAUAAAUACAAUUAACAGCAUGUCUCCCUAUAAAGUUGGCCUUGUGCCAAGACAUACACAAAAUAAUCACUAUCAUCCUCUUAUUAUUAUCAUUCUCCAUCAAUAUUAAUAAGCUUUCUCCUUCAUUACUGUUGGGGUGAUAAAUUAUUGCAGAUUUUGCUAUCAUUUAUAAAAUAUAUUCAGAAUUCAUUUAAAAUUAAAUAUAAAAAAGAGAGAGAGAGAGAGAGAGAUGAUAUCGUUUGUGAAUUCAGGUCAUUGCAAAAUUUUUCUCUAAUGAACUGAUUGGUUCAGUUAUGUCACUAAUACCAGUUUCUUAUUUUAUUGUAUUCAUUUUUUAUUCUGCUAUGGUUCAUUUUCAUAAUUAGCAGUUACAGGUAUAAUUUUUCUCUCUUCUGUUAAAUGACUUAAUUUGUUGCUAUAUAUAUAUAUAUAUAUAUAUAUAAUACAUAUAAACAUAUAUAUAUACAUGCAUAUAUAUAUAUAUAUAUAUAUAUAUGUGGGAGGGGAACUCUGGCAAGGGAUUAUUCUGUCACAUUCAAAUACAUAUUAGUUUCAUAAUCACUUUGUAUUCCAAUUUAGUGAAACAUGGCAGUCAAAGAAUAAGUCCUGAGGUCAAUUUGCUUGACUAAAAGCGGUGCCUCAGCAUGGCCACAGUCAAAUGAUUGAAACAAGUAAAAGAAUAUAUAUAUAUAUAUAUAUAUAUAUAUAUUACCCAUAACAUUUAAGGAAAUAUCUAUGAAAAUCCUGAUGCAUAUUCCUGGCUUUCUCAAUCAUCAUUAAUAAAUUUUGCCUUUUUUCCUCCUUGUCUGUUUUCUAUGCAUAUACAAUUGUAAUAGGUUUUGCAAGUGCCAGAUGGCCUGUUGAGAUAAGAUAAACUAAAGUGCAGCCAUAUUAUUCAUUAAAAAAUCCUCCUCUCAAAUUUGCGGCAUUAUCUUUAAUAAUUUAUUAAAAUAAAUACAUAUGUUUAACUAGGCAUUUAAAAUAUUUUAUAGUAUGAAGUUAAUUCAGCUUAACAAUGAUAAUGGUGGUGAUGCUGGUAAUAAUUAUUAUCAUCAUGAUAAUAAACAUAAUCAGCACCUUCCUUCAACCUUUCAUCAUCACCAUCAUCAUCAUCAUCAUCAUCAUCGUCAUCAUUAUCAUUAUUGUCAUAUUUCAUCUGUGUCACUUUUUAUAUUUAGCACCAAAAUAAUUAACAACUGAUAAAAUAAGAAAAGCUGACAUCUUAGAAUUUGGUAUGGAACUCAUUGAAUCUCUAGCAAGUACCUCAAUAGUAUUGACAGAUUAUCUCAUUUGUUAUUAUUCAACUUUCCUUCUGAUAUGAUGAAAUUUAAAGUAGUCUGCCCCCUUCACCCUCCAAAAAUUAUGGCAGUUGUUUUGUUAUUUGUUCCUUGUUGGAUUUUUUUUGUAGCUAUCUAAAUUGAUAAAACCACAUGUCAAAGGUCAGUUGUCUGCAAAUUUUAGUUAUUGUAACAUUCAUCAAAUUUAAUUAUCAUUACAACCUUUAUUAAAUAUCUCAUAGAACAAAUGCAAAUACAAAAAAUGUUGGGAAAAAAAUGUUUUUUAUUUCAAAAUAUUUUUAUUCCAAAUGAAAAAAAUGUUUAAAAUUUUGAUGUUGAUUACAGUAAUUUUCAAGUUGAGAAAACUUCAUAUAUUGAAACCUCAACACUUGAGUAUAUGUUAGUGUCAUAUUAAUUACUUAUCUAAUAGCUAAGAACUAGGAUAAUUUGGUUAUACCCUAAAUAAUGUGGAUAAUGUAUCAGAAUGACCAAAUAAUAUAAAUGUCAGUGAGCAAAAGGAACAGAUGCAGGUGAAUAGUUGAAUGAAUUUAAUGAUUGUUAAUCUAUACUGACUAAAUGGAGACCAAACAUCAGAAAGACAAAUGUAAGUUUGUUUAAAUAUUAAACACUGAUUAGCCAAAUGUAAUGAAUUGAUUGCAAUUAGCUAGACAAGUGUCAGAAUUAGCAAUUACACAAACAAUCAAAAGUCAGACAGUGUUUGACAAAUGCAAAUUUGAAACUGUAUUUAUGAAAAUUAUGUAAGCAAAAAUUUGUUGGAUACAGAUGGUGUAACAUUAGUGGUAAACCAUAUUAGAUUGGAAUUGUUUUUGAGGUAUUAUUAGAUGAUAUAAUUAUUUGCUAAACAAGAGAUUUAAGUAUAUGUUAAUUUGUAAUGAAUUGGAUAUGGUGUGAGUUUUAAACAAUGAGUCAUGUGUAAAGUAUGGGUUAAAUGUUAUUGUGAAUUAAAGAGUUUUUGAGCCGAAUUUAUAACUGCUAUUGUAUGGAAAAAAAAAAUUUGAAAUACAAUUUGAAUGCUGAACAUUAGCCAGUAGUUAAUAUUAUACAUUACUCCAUUUAGACAAGAAAGCAUUGAAUCAUAUAUCUUAUAAUACAACCCCUACAUGAUGAGACAAGGAUAAACAAAUGUAUUCUGUAAGCACCAUGUGGAAUAAAAUUUUCUUUCGUGUUCAUUUGUUUUACUAGAGAGAAAAAUAGUCAUUAACAUCAGGUUUUUUUAAGAAAUUACUAUUAAUGUGACAAAACCACACAAUUAUAUUAAUAACUGAUAUGAUAAUUCAUAUCACAUCUCUAAGAAUAUUUAUACACACACAUCCAUAUAUAUGUGCUUGUGUGCAUGUGUGUGUGUAUGUGUGUGUAUGCACAUAUAUACAUAUGUACAUAUAUGUGUCCACAUAUGUAUGUAUGUAUAUGUCAAAAUUCUUGAAUCAAAGAUCAAAGAGACAAGAAAUCCAAAGAGGGCUUAAUGUGAGCUACAUAUAGCUUUGGAAUAAAUAGUUUUAUUAUACAAAUUUCAUGUUUUAGUAAAGAAACUCUGCUUGCAAUAAACUCAAAAAUAGCUCCUAUGAAACAAACUAUUUUGAAUCUAUUCAGAUUAGUUAACAUAAAGUUUUCUUUAAAAAAUUACUCUUAAUCAAUUGAAAAUUUUAAAAUCAGAUAAGCAAUAAUUAACAAUUUUACACAGAUCUGCUACUAAUUUGUGAAAUCAGAAAAAAUAAAUUCUAUUUGAGAUGUUUAAUCAACCAUCCCACAUAAAUUUCUAUAUUUUUUCUUGUCUUCCUGUCCACAGUGUUUUCACCAAUCCUAUUUCUAUGUAUUUAGAAAUUGAUUAAUAUGUUCUGUUUUGUUUUGUUUGAAUUUUUUGUCUCAUUUAAAUGAACUUUUCAAAAGCAAUAAUUUUCCCUCCAUCGAACUUUCCAAAAAUCUGUUAUCAUUCUACAUAAACUUUAUCACUAUAUGUUAAUGAAAACUUCCAAAUUCAAAUUCAUUCAAUGAAAAUAUUCAAAAAGCAAUAAUGGGUUAUUUUUUUCUUCUCAUAACAUACAAGAAGAAGACAACUUACAAUAAUUUUUUUUAACUAUUUACAAAUCAAAUAUUCAAAAAGCAAUAACAACUUUUUGUAUUCAUAGGAAAUAACUAUUUGGUAUAAUUUAUGAAAUUUACUCAUACAACAAAAGUAUUCAAAAAGCAAUAACUUUUUUGUCCAUGACUUCUGAAAAGCAAUAACGUUUUCCUACUCAUAAAUGUGGGAAUAAAUAAUUUAAAUAUCUUUAUGAAUUUUAUACACUCUUUAAAGUGUUUGAAAAAAGCAAUAAGUCUCUGUUCUUUAUUGACAGCCAGUGAUGGUGGGCUACUGGCAUAAUGAUUUAAGUACUGUUUUAUUCCCUACCAAAAAAAAGCAAUAAAUUCCUUCCCUGAUUUACAUUGAGUUGACAUAUUUAUCAGAUUCUGUCAAUUAUUCAAUGAAAACUAUUCAAAUAAGCAAUAACAUUCUUAUUAUUGAUACAUUUAGCAAGAAAGCAUAAAAUACAUUUUUUAACAAUUUUGUUUGGAAAGCAAUAUCAAUUUAUUUUUUCAUUUCUCUAUUAUUUAUUUAUUUCGUUUCAUUUUCUGACCAAACAUUAUAAAAGGACAUAUCUAUUGAAGUCUAUCACAAAAAUAAUAUCAAUCUUGACAAAUAUUAAAGCAUAUCAACAAAA